CUCUUGCCUCACAUAAGAGGUCCAGCCUGCCCAGUGAAAUUUUAACGGCCGCGGUACCCUGACCGUGCGAAGGUAGCAUAAUCACUCGUUCUCUAAAUGGGGACUUGUAUCAACGGCAUCACGAGGGUCACACUGUCUCCUCUCUCCAAUCAGUGAACCUAAUCUCCCCGUGAAGAAGCGGGGUUACACCCAUAAGACGAGAAGACCCCAUGGAGCUUUAAACCUUAAAGCAAUUUAAAUAAAAUAUUUCCACAUAUACUUUAUAUAUGCAUGAAAGUUUUGGGUUGGGGUGACCGCGGAGCAAAAACUAACCUCCACAACGAAAAGAACUAAACCUUUAUCUAAGAACUACUAUUCUAAGAAUCAACAUACUGACGAAUACUGAUCCGAUAAUCGAUCAAUGAACCAAGUUACCCUGGGGAUAACAGCGCAAUCUACUUCGAGAGCUCAUAUCGACAAGUAGGCUUACGACCUCGAUGUUGGAUCAGGGUAUCCCAGUGGUGCAGCCGCUACUAAUGGUUCGUUUGUUCAACGAUUAAACCCC
rnacentral:rRNA from 1 species